UGUUCAAUAUUGUUAAUAACUUUAUGAUGGGGGAAAAAUAGAUGUGGAAAAUUAUAAGCACACAGCUCAGGGAUUUAACACUCACCGCUUCCAGGUUGCAUAUGAAAUUUCCAGAACAGUUCUCCUAGCCAUAGACAGUGUGAUCAUUCUGAUAGCAAUCAAAUUAGGAGGAGCAAAAGGAAAUGUUAUCCGCUGGGAAGCUGCGCACCAAUAUUCGCUUAACCAGUGCUGCCUUGUAGACCACUGAUGCAUAGAAAUCUUUGCUUCUUCUCCAUGUGCUAAUCUAUUCCAAUUGCACACAUGACUUCAAAAAAGUUCUGGAUGUAUUUCUUUAAGGAUAAUGGCUGAGACUAAACAGGAUUCUUGGAAAGAAGUCCUGGAGCUCCAUAGGAUAAAGCAAUGCAAAGAUGCAGAACGAGGUUGGCAUUUUGGCCAAAUGGAAGGAAAAGUGAUGGAAAGCAUGGGAAAAGGAGAUGAUUCUCUACUACCAGCUGUCUAAACCUCUUAGCCACGGCCACUUUCUUGGCAGUUAAAUUAAAUUUCUGAUCACAUAUUUGUGCUCAAAUUAAUUCUGCAACAAAGCAAAUAUACUUUAAAUUAGGUAGGUUAAGAAAUUAAGGAAGAAAUGCAUAGUUACUUAUUCUGAAAUAGAUUCUCCAGUGUUUUGAAUUGGUUAGCUUCUUUCUUGGAAGGACCACAAUUAUGGAAAUCACAGUCUGAAAAAAGCAACUACUCCAGCAAUAAGAACAAAAUUAGAAAAAUUGCAAGGAUAAGUAGAUAGAUCCAGGGUUUGCCAAUAACAUCAAAUGUGCUCCUUUUUGAUUUUGGCUUCUACAUAGCUCCAGCUACUGAUUCUAUUUGAAGACAAUUGCUGGUGUUCAUUGUAUAUACCUAUGCAUAUAGAUAUAAGAAUACGGCAGAAAGGUCUCCAAAUCACGGAAAGCCUUGUGGAUACCGCAGGGCAGAGUUAUGACUUGAAAGGGAAUUUGGGAGAGAGGGGAGGACCAACAAUUUUAAGUGUCUUGACCCUUCUUCUUGAUGCAGACUGAUUCUUUGUCCCACACAAAGUCUGCUUGUCCCAGUGUGCUGAGGCAUUGGGUUGUGGCCUAGGAAGAUUGCCUGGCACGCUCCAAAUUACACUAUGAAUGAUUGUCAGAGCCAUAAAUAACAGAAACUGAACUCUGGAGUCAAUGACUUGCCUCAUACGUUCUGCUAGACUGCUUUUCACAGCAGAGGAGGAAUCCAUUUAGACUGAAGAUGGCAAGUCAAAAUAAGAAAAUGACAUAAAAGAUUUUAGUGCAAUAUUGAGUUGUACCUGCCACAAAUUGCCAGUGAACUACAAUGAAGAUAGUUUAAGCGAAGUGGAUUGUUUCUUUUUGCGGGGGUGGGGAGGGUUUUUUUGUUUGUUUAUUUUGUUUUUUUAUUUUGGCAGGGGAAGGGCUGAGAAAUACAAUGUGAUGUUCAUAUAGCAGAAGCAAGAAGUGGGUAUAAUGUAAUUAGCUCACUCAGACAUUGACUUCUUCAUUAUUAGGUAUCUAGUUAGGUGAGACAGUUCCCACCUAGAAUAACAAGAAGGGGAAGGAUACAAGAAAUUAUCUAUAAUAUUUUCUCUCUUCCAUUACCCUUUGGGGAGCUGGUCACCCAGUGGUCCCAUAUUAUUGAAUCUUUGUUGUUAAGCUUCCUGUGGCUUCCUUGACUGUUGCAGUACUUACAUCCUUUGUUCCCCUGAUGCAUUUCCCAGGAACAAGUUCUCUAUCUGUUAGCUUUUUACAAAAUUUGCGGGCCACAACUCAACUACCUUUGGCUCUGCCAGACUCCCCAGAAGGUUCAAUGCAAUCUUCUCCAGAAACCCAGCUUUGUGCAUUUGUCCAUUUAACCCUCAGGAAAUCUUAGGCAUUGCUGGAAGCGUAAGCUUUGCACAGGAUUCUAAGAAAUCUUCCUCUCUACUUACAAAACCUAAAAAUGCACAAUAAUAACCUCUGUACAACUUCCUCUGCUUCUGGAGAAUGCUUUCACCUUACAGAAAAUUGCUCUGAAUUUUAAAGGAGCCCAUCACCUGCCAAAGGUUUCUCUUCAGAGAUAUUAAAUCUUUUUACUCUUGGAUAGUCUUGAUUAAAAAAAAAAAAUUGUUCUAAAAGGCUGAGAAUCUCCCCGAUCUAGUCCCCUUCUAUAGUUUUCCAAGGAACAUCAUCUCCUUAGUUUCCUUGCUCUGCCUCAUGAAAUUUCCUACUUGUCAAAUUUCAAUGCUUUACAGAGAUAUGAGAGAAAACUGGUUUUGUCACUUCAGACAAUCCAAGUUAGUAAGUGACUCCACUUGAAUCAGCAGUUAUCAAGACCCAAUGACCAAUGGGGUGAAGAUGUGAUAAAGUAUCGCUUCAUGGCUGGCUCUAUGUCUAUUAUCCCUGUGUGAUUCAGCAAGUUUGCAGCAGGGGUCAGGGUCCAUGAGGCAUACCAGGACAAAUGCUUCCAGUUCUCCAUUCAAGAGUGACGCGCCGCCAGAGGGGCAUCCGGGAUUCUUUCAGAUUCUGGGGUUAGUUGUCCUGAACUCAAAAGAUCGUCAUUUGUCGAGGGCCAUCUAAUUUUUCUGAAGAAACGCCAUAGCUUCGGUUGGAGUAUUCUUCUACACCCUGUACCUUCCCCUUUAGGCCAGGUUGCUUGCUUGAUGGCAUAGAACAUGUAUGCAGGAUGAAAAAGUUUGCCAAUCGUUGUGGUGAUUGCAUUGUGCUGUCUGAUGGUAGCACGUGGAGCACACAUUGAGAAACAAUCAUCUAGAUCUACUUUUUGUCAGAGAACAGUAAUGUUUCUGAAUAUUGUAGUAGCAAUUUCUCAGAAUAAAAGCUUCUGUUUCUGGCUACAGGUCA